GAUGAACGCUGGCGGCGUGCCUAAUACAUGCAAGUCGAGCGAACAGACGAGGAGCUUGCUCCUCUGACGUUAGCGGCGGACGGGUGAGUAACACGUGGAUAACCUACCUAUAAGACUGGGAUAACUUCGGGAAACCGGAGCUAAUACCGGAUAAUAUAUUGAACCGCAUGGUUCAAUAGUGAAAGACGGUUUUGCUGUCACUUAUAGAUGGAUCCGCGCCGCAUUAGCUAGUUGGUAAGGUAACGGCUUACCAAGGCAACGAUGCGUAGCCGACCUGAGAGGGUGAUCGGCCACACUGGAACUGUGACCCGGGCCAGACUCCGACGGGAGGCAGCAGUAGGGAAUCUUGCGCCAUGGUCGAAAGCCUGACGGAGCAACGCCGCGUGAGUGAGGAAGGUCUUCGGAUCGUAAAACUCUGUUACUAGGGAAGAACAAAUGUGUAAGUACCGAGGCACGUCGUGACGGUAGCUAUUCAGAUCGCCACGGCUAACGACUCA
rnacentral:rRNA from 1 species